rnacentral:lncRNA from 1 species
UCUUCCACGCCGAGACCCUCUGCAUUGGCGGACGUUCGCUCUGUUAGAUUUUACCUGGAACUGGAUAGAACGCCAGAAUCCCUGGAAGCGGUAACUACUUAUUUUCUCCCCAUCAGUUAUGCUCUUGAUGCAGUUUGAGCUAUUAAUGUAAGAAAUUAAUCACCUCGCAGUAGAUUAUUUCUUUCAGCAUCUUCCGGAAUAAGUUUGCAGGGCCGCAAGACCACCUGUGCUGCUGGUAUCUGUAUGCCUUGUAUGUGCUCGGCAGCUCGUUCUUAACCUGAUCCGGGAAAAUUAUUUAUAAAUUUCCUUCGUUUUUCUGAGAUUGCAGGAAUGCGCAGCGGCACCGUCGCCGGCGUUCAGAAGAAAGAUGUUACCGAUAAAUCCC